GACGAACGCUGGCGGCGUGCUUAACACGUGCAAGUCGAACGGAAAGGCCUGCUUUCCCUUGUGGAUUGCGGGUACUCGAGUGGCGAACGGGUGAGUAACACGUGAGUGAUCUGCCCCCAACUUGGGUAUAAGCCUGGGAAACUGGGUCUAAUUCCCGAUAGGACUGCAGGGUGGUGCCUGUGGUGGAAAACGAUUUUCUAGUGGUUGGGGAUGAGCUCGCGGCCUAUCAGCUUGUUGGUGGGGUAAUGGCCUACCAAGGCGGCGACGGGUAGCCGGCCUGAGAGGGUGGACGGCGACAUUGGGACUGAGAUACGGCCCAGACUCCUACGGAAGGCAGCAGUGGGGAAUAUUGGACAAUGUGCGGAAGCCUGAUGCAGCGACGCAGCGUGGGGGAUGACGGCCUGCGGGUUGUAAACUCCUUUCGACCGCGAGGAAGCCACCUGGUUGGAAGGGUGGUGACGGUAGUGGUAGAAGAAGCACCGGCUAACUACGUG
rnacentral:rRNA from 1 species